rnacentral:misc_RNA from 1 species
GUACUCUACUGUGCAUCUCUUCAGCUCACGAGUGCGGAUCGCAGAAAACCGGGAGUUUGCGUAGCCUGUUAGGCUAUUUGCAUAUUCCAUUAAUUAAUUAUUAGUGGGGUGAAAGUGACGAUGGCUCACACGUUGCCAGUGGUCACCGAAUCCGCUCGUUAAACCCAGGUGUGGUUGCGCCCCUUUUUGUGUUCGAUGCGCGUGCAACGUCUGGCGGCUUUCGUCGCACCAGGGCCGCAGUGAUACAACGACGACGAAGAAGAAGGACAUGUUCUUCCCAACUCGCUCGUCGCGAGACAACAUGUGGCAUGAGGCUAGGAAGCAGGAGCGCAAGAUACGCGGCAUGCUGGUCGACCUCAAGAAGCGGGCCGAGCGCCGGAAGGAGUUCUACGAGCGGAUCAAGCAAGACCCAGCCCAGUUUCUUCAACUUCAUGGGCGACGUUGCAAGAUCCACAUCGACCUGGCAAUCGCACAGGCGGCUGAUAGCCCGGCCACUAUGAUGCCUUGGCAGGGGAACAGGGAUGUCAUGAUUGACCGAUUCGACGUCCGAGCCCACCUGGACACGAUACCAGAGUUCAAGGCCUCCGAUGAAGGCCCAGAGCUGACCGAAGAGCAGAAGGAAGAGGAGAGGCAAAUCAACUACGAGCGCUACCGCACACUCGUUCAGAACGAUUUUCUUGGAGUGUCAGAGGACAAGUUCUUGCAUCAGAUCUUCUUGGAGGAACGCUAUGGCCCUGUCGGGAAGCCUGUUGGCACCACGGAGGAGGAAAAGAAAAAGCUUGCCGAGAAGAAGGCUGCGAUUGGCUACACAUAUGAGGACAGCACCCCUGUUCCUUCGACGUCGGCCAAUCAUAAUGAGGAGCCGGAAGAGGAGGAAGAUAAAGAGGACCUCAGUGAUAUCGAUCUCGAUGUCACUGUCGACGUGAACGAACUCACCAUCGAGCAAGCGCGAGAGAUGAACGACCACUCGCACGCCUACGGCAUGGAGUCUACGGAUUUCAUCUCGUACCUCCACCUGGACAAGGAGGAGCAGGAAAGGCUGAAACAGGCGAGAGAGCUCGAAGAGGAGAAAGCCAUGUACUCGGGGCGAAAGUCUCGCCGAGAGAGGCGGGCGCUGCGCGAGAAGAAACUCAAGAACCGUAAGGUCACCAGUCCACCAAGCUAUGCAGCCAGAGCCAGCCCGACAUACAAGCCGUUCAGAGCACAGUCAAGUUCACGGUCGCGGUCUAGAUCCCCCCAGAACAUGGGUCAGAUCACCUUCAUCACAAGUUUUGGCGGCGACGGGUCCGACGAAGACGACAGCACCGCCAAGAAGGGCCAGGCCAAAGCCGGCGGUUCUUCGGUGUCUGGCGCUGGUGGAGCAGCUUCGUCGUCGGGAAGCAGGGCGGCUGUGUCGUCCUCCAGAGGCGACGGCGGUCGUGGAAGCAGCGGGUUAUCCAAACGAAGGUCACGAGACCGUUCAAGGUCGAGAGAUCGACGUGGUGGCUCGUCUCACGGUUCUGGCCGCGGGAGGAGAUCGUCCCGAAGGCGUUCCUCAAGUUCGAGGUCAUCAUCUGGUGGCAGGGUUCGUCGUAGAAGCCGCAGCCGAGGUCGUGCGUCGUACCGUCCCAGGCGGGGUUCCAGGCGACGGUCGCGGUCACCACGACCGAGCUCGCCGCGCCACCGGGGUCGUUGGACUUCGUCACGUAGCCGGUCAAGGUCGCGGUCCAGGCACUGGGGUCGUGGCCGGAAACGUUCCAGCUCAUCUCCGAGGUCGCCCAAGGGUCACGACCGGGAGCAGAGGUCGCGCUCGCAAUCUUCGCCGCCGCCGGCCCCACGCAAGUUGCCCAGCCCGCCCCGGAAGUCCUACUAUCGUCACAGCCUGUCACGGUCGCGGUCCAAGUCGCUGACCAGCAGCGACGACGAGGAUAAGAAAAAGAACCGCUCGCGCAGCAACAGCAGCAGCAGCAGCGAAGGGUCCCGGGGUCAGCAGGGAGGCGCGGCGGGUGCCAGCAACGGUACUCGUCGCAACUGGCCGUCGGCGGACGCGGUGAGACCCAACGUCUCUGUGGGUAAACCAGGUCCCGCCUCCAAAACACCUGCAGGUGCCGGUUCGGCGGCUGGAGGUGGAGCGGGUGGUCUCACGUUGAGGGAGAAGCUCAAGCGGAAGAUGCAGGCUGCCCUCAACAAGCAGUACAAGGCCGACAAGCGGGCUGAACGGGAAAAGCAGGACAAAAUUCAGCAGGAACGCUGGGAUCGGGCCGAGGAGCUGCGGGGAAUGGCCCUCCGUCUGCGCCAGAGGUAGGUCCGGCAUCUUUUCUCGAAGCGCUCCUCCUUCGCCGAAAAUCUUCCCGUUGGACGGGCCCGAUCCAAUGAUGACAGAGAUGGGAACGCGAGAAGAGGCACAAAGAAAGGGACGACUACGACUACGAUCCGGAUGGAAGCCGGGACGGCCAUGAUGGCUAUUCCAGUCGCUCUGGUAGCCGCUCGCGAAGCCCAAGCCGCAGUCCUGAGCCCCGGCCCCCGGGCGACUCUUCAUAUGCGCCCCCUAUCGAGUACUCCAGAAAUCCGACGUACUACUCUCGACGAA